rnacentral:rRNA from 1 species
ACAGAGGUCCCAAGCGUUGUUCGGAUUCACUGGGCGUAAAGGGUGCGUAGGUGGCGGGGUAAGUUUGAUGUGAAAUCUCCAAGCUCAACUUGGAAAUGGCAUUGAAUACUCUCCCGCUAGAGGGUCGGAGGGGAGACUGGAAUUCUCGGUGUAGCAGUGAAAUGCGUAGAUAUCGAGAGGAACACCAGUGGCGAAGGCGAGUCUCUGGACGACUCCUGACACUGAGGCACGAAAGCUAGGGGAGCAAACAGGAUUAGAUACCCUGGUAGUCCUAGCUGUAAACGGUGCACAUUUGCUGUGAACGGAUUCGACCCCGUUCGUGGCGUAGCUAACGCGUUAAAUGUGCCGCCUGGGAAGUACGGUCGCAAGAUUA